GACGAACGCUGGCGGCGUGCUUAACACAUGCAAGUCGAGCGGUAAGGCCCUUUCGGGGGUACACGAGCGGCGAACGGGUGAGUAACACGUGGGUGACCUGCCCUCAGCUCUGGGAUAAGCCUGGGAAACCGGGUCUAAUACCGGAUAUGACUCCAUGACGCAUGUUGUGGGGUGGAAAGCCUUGUGCGGCUGAGGAUGGGCCCGCGGCCUAUCAGCUUGUUGGUGGGGGNGAU
rnacentral:rRNA from 1 species